CAGCCGCCGCGGGAAUACGUAGGUGGCAAGCGUUGUCCGGAAUUAUUGGGCGUAAAGGGCUCGCAGGCGGUUUCUUAAGUCUGAUGUGAAAGCCCCCGGCUCAACCGGGGAGGGUCGUUGGAAACUGGGAAACUUGAGUGCAGAAGAGGAGAGUGGAAUUCCACGUGUAGCGGUGAAAUGCGUAGAGAUGUGGAGGAACACCAGUGGCGAAGGCGACUCUCUGGUCUGUAACUGACGCUGAGGAGCGAAAGCGUGGGGAGCGAACAGGAUUAGAUACCCCAGUAGUCCCUGUCUCUUAUAC
rnacentral:rRNA from 1 species